GGGCCAUUGGAGCUGUCGGCAAAGCUCACCUGGUUCUCAGCCAGGAGAUCGUCGGUUCGAGCCCGACAUGGCCUA
rnacentral:tRNA from 1 species